CCUACGGGAGGCAGCAGUGGGGGAUAUUGCACAAUGGGCGAAAGCCUGAUGCAGCGACGCCGCGUGAGGGAAGACGGUCUUCGGAUUGUAAACCUCUGUCUUUGGGGAAGAAAAUGACGGUACCCAAAGAGGAAGCUCCGGCUAACUACGUGCCAGCAGCCGCGGUAAUACGUAGGGAGCAAGCGUUGUCCGGAAUUACUGGGUGUAAAGGGAGCGUAGGCGGGAUGGCAAGUAGAAUGUUAAAUCCAUCGGCUCAACCGGUGGCUGCGUUCUAAACUGCCGUUCUUGAGUGAAGUAGAGGCAGGCGGAAUUCCUAGUGUAGCGGUGAAAUGCGUAGAUAUUAGGAGGAACACCAGUGGCGAAGGCGGCCUGCUGGGCUUUAACUGACGCUGAGGCUCGAAAGCGUGGGGAGCAAACAGGAUUAGAUACCCCUGUAGU
rnacentral:rRNA from 1 species